AUUGAACGCUGGCGGAAUGCUUUACACAUGCAAGUCGAACGGCAGCACGGACUUCGGUCUGGUGGCGAGUGGCGAACGGGUGAGUAAUGUAUCGGAACGUGCCCAGUCGUGGGGGAUAACGUAGUGAAAAUUACGCUAAUACCGCAUACGAUCUAUGGAUGAAAGCGGGGGAUCGCAAGACCUCGCGCGAUUGGAGCGGCCGAUAUCAGAUUAGGUAGUUGGUGGGGUAAAGGCCCACCAAGCCAACGAUCUGUAGCUGGUCUGAGAGGACGACCAGCCGCACUGGAACGGAGACACGGUCCAGACUCCUACGGGAGGGAGCAGUGGGGAAGUUUGGACAAUGGGCGAAAGCCUGAUCCAGCCAGUCCGCGUGCAGGAUGAAGGCCCUCGGGUUGUAAACUGCUUUUGUACAGAACGAAAAGGUUUCUACUAAUACUAGGAGCUCAUGACGGUACUGUAAGAAUAAGCACCGGCUAACUACGUGCCAGCCGCCGCCGUAA
rnacentral:rRNA from 1 species